rnacentral:rRNA from 1 species
UACAGAGGGGGCAAGCGUUGUUCGGAAUUACUGGGCGUAAAGGGCGCGUAGGCGGCCAUCUAAGUCAGACGUGAAAUCCCCCGGCUUAACCUGGGAACUGCGUCUGAUACUGGACGGCUUGAGUAUGGGAGAGGGAUGUAGAAUUCCAGGUGUAGCGGUGAAAUGCGUAGAUAUCUGGAGGAAUACCGGUGGCGAAGGCGGCAUCCUGGACCAUUACUGACGUUGAGGCGCGAAAGCUAGGGGAGCAAACGGG